CCUACGGGGGGCUGCAGUCGAGAAUCUUCCGCAAUGGGCGAAAGCCUGACGGAGCGACGCCGCGUGCGGGAUGAAGGCCUUCGGGUUGUAAACCGCUGUCAGUGGGGAGCAAAUGUACGGGGGUUCUCCCCUGUGCUUGAGCGAUCCGCAGAGGAAGCGCAGGCUAAGUUCGUGCCAGCAGCCGCGGUAACACGAACUGCGCAAACGUUAUUCGGAAUCACUGGGCUUAAAGAGUUCGUAGGCGGCGCGUUAAGUCGGGUGUGAAAUCCCUCGGCUCAACCGAGGAAUUGCGCCCGAAACUGGCGUGCUUGAGUAAGAUAGAGGUGAGCGGAACUGAUGGUGGAGCGGUGAAAUGCGUUGAUAUCAUCAGGAACACCGGUGGCGAAAGCGGCUCACUGGGUCUUAACUGACGCUGAGGAACGAAAGCUAGGGUAGCGAACGGGCUUAGAUACCCGUGUAGUC
rnacentral:rRNA from 1 species